GGAGGUCUGUUUUAGAUAGAAAGGGUGGUGUUUUAAAUGAUCCAUGUGGUAUUUUUACCAAAAAAUGUUACAGACAUUUCAUUAAGAUCCCAAGGAACCAUAUCAACUGUGUUGAAAUGGGCAUAAUAUGUCCCCUUUAAAGCUUUCUCAACAGACACAUCAGAAAUUCAGGUGGGGUAAUGACCAAUCCGUAUUUAAAUUUUUCUCAUUUUCAAACAUUGGAAACAAAAUAAUAUGAAAAGCCAGGAAUAGAACAUGGGCACCUGCUUCGUAAUUUCCAAAUGACUCUAGUUUCUGUCCAUCCGAUCUAAAAUGCAACCCCAGAGUUUUCAAACAAAAAUGGGACCAGCAGCAUUUAAAAAUGUCUGAGGGCCUGGUUAACUCUGGAAUAGUGUGGAGGCCAGACAAAAGUGAUUAAUUUUCCAAACUAAAAUGUGUUAGUUUGAGUUGAAUGCCCAGCUUUAUUUGUAAUAAUAAUAAUAAUAAUAAUAAUUUUCACAUAACUUGUCUCUCUCUCCCCUCUCUUUUCGAGCUACCGCUUUUUCUCCCACCCACUAAGGGUCGAGGCAGAUGGUCACCACAACCGGUUGAUGAUGGCCACCCACAUUGAGUCUGAUUAUAGAGCCAUACUCCCCUCCUGGCAAAAUGUGCGUUUCGACAUUUUACAUUUCUCCUUGGACUCCUGAUCUGCUUUUGAAGAAGUGUGUUUCUCUCUAACUGCAUUUUUCUUACCAUUAAAUGUUUUUAAACAA